AGGUAUAAUUCUUAAACGAUUUCUAUGAAUCCGGUUUUGAAACUCAUAUUACCAACAACACAUGAAUUUCGUUUUCCUCCUUCAGAACAUAGCAACAAUUAUUUAUACACUCUCUGCUUUCGGUUUUGAGCAAUUUACAGGUAUAACAAUAAUUAACAGCAAGGUUGAGAGUGAAAGGGGAAUCGAAUUACCUGCGGCAAGGAGGAUUUUACCGGUUUUACGUCGAGAAAGUUUGUUGAUUGAAGGUGGUAUGAAGAUGAAAGUUGGAUGAUGAGGAUGAUUGAUGCGUUGAUACGGGGCUGCAACUAGAGGAUCUAUUUUGAUGAAGAUGAUGCAACAAAACCUUUUUUUGGAUAUUAGGGAGACUUGAAGAUGCAACUUCAAGUUGUUGCUCUCUACUAAGGUAUGAACUACUUCUUCACCCCUUUUCCAACUAUGGAACUAAGAAACUUUGAAAAUUAUGAGAGAAAAGGGAGGAGUGAAAAAGCAAGUAGUUAAGGUUGCUUUGGUGUGAUUUGCAAUGAAGUGAGGCCUUCUAUUUAUAGGAAAAGUUAAGGGAGUGUUUGGCAUUUGGUAAUAAACUUGAUAUCCAAAUUGUAAUCAUUGCAAAAAUCUCAUAAGAAUAAGAAUAUUCUUUAUGACAUUAUUUCUUAUGCAAGUGGGAAAAAAUAUCUUUGAUUCCUUUUUGUCUUGAAUUAUUUCUUUGCUAAAUACACCCCUUUUUGUCUUGAUUUGGGCUUUUGAAUAUUUUGUUGAACUUUUUGCUAAUCUCACCCUUCUUGUUUCUUUUUCCAUGUGACAUGAGCAUUCUUGAUGAAAGCAUGAAGAAAUUCAAUUUUGAAGAAUGAAGACUUUGAAGAUUGAAGAAUUCAAGAAAGUCUUUGAAGCUUUACUUUUCUUUUUCUUGUAAUUCCAAUUUAUUCCAACUUUAAAUUGUAUGAACUUUGCAUUCUUGAAAAUGAAUGGAAUUUUGUAAUUCUUGAACUUUAGAUAAAGUUCCUUUGUAAUUCAUUUGUUCCAUGUAAACGCUUGAACUUCUUUUAGAACUUGAAUGAAAUUAUUAUUCAAUCAUGAAAUUCCAAUAUUCUUGAGUGAAAUUGUUAUUCAAGCAUGAAGCUUUGAAUAUUCUUGAAUGGUCUUUGAAUUUAAAAAUUCAAUUCCCUUUGAUAUAGAAAAUGAUGGGAAAUCCUUGGAGUAGCAUGAAACUUUAAGUCUUGAAACACAUU